GAGAGAAGAGAAACUAAUAUUUUAUUCAUUAAUUUCUGUUAUGUCCAUCUCAGCCUAUACAGCUUUUAAUUGUUUUGCAUAAAUUACAGAUUUCAACCUCAGCUGAUAUUUCAUAAUCUGGUUUAUCAAUUACCAUUCUUUCUUAAACUAUCAAAUCAUAACAGAAUUUGACAUUUACAAUUAGAUUCAUUCCUAUCAACAAAUUACUCCAAUGAGGGUUGAUGAUUAUUUAAUUGGUGGUGGAUCUACAUAUUUGGGAAAGAUUCUUGCUUUUUGCAGGUAUGAUUAUUUAAAAUCAUGGGGUAUUAUUUUAAUUGUUUAAAAGGGAUUAUUUGUAUUGUUUUAUGCAAUUGGUGACAGCUCCUAUUUAUGAACUUAGCUAAGUUAUUGAGAUAAACUAGAAAGGUAAAUAUAAAUAUGUGUUAAUUUGAUACCAUCAUAUGAAAGUAAAAUAGUUGAGGUUUGAUUUAUAUAGAUUUUCUUUAGAGAAGAUCAAAUAUACAAGGCUUGAGAAAAGCUUAGACUUCCUUAUAUUUUGUGUACGUGGAAAGAAAAACUAGUAAAAGAUUAGAUAGAAGAUAAAUAUUUGAAGAGAUUAUUUAUUGUAUAUUUCUAUUUCUAUCUGUUGUUGGGUUAGUGUUGUAACUUUUGUGUUAUUUAUUUGAAAAAUAUAUUUGAUUGAUGUAGGAAUCGUUCCAAUUAUUAUUAAGCUUAAUCAACUCCUUUACUAUUAUAAAUAAUUUCUCUUUGUUAACCAGUUGAUUAAGUGAGCUAUUUUACUAUUAUUAAACAUUCCAACUAUUCAUUUGAUCCUAGCAUAAGAGGUUUCACCUUGGCCUGAAUUGAGAGCUUGUGCUGCUUUAUCCUUCCUUUGAUGUCUAAGACAUUGCUGUGUUUUUGGAAUACUUUGAAUUCUUUGUUUUGUGUUUGAGUGAGGUUCAACGAUUAUUUGUAUAAUUGUGUAUUUGUGUUUAUUAUUGGUGUAGAUAAUGAAAUUUUUUGCAACAUGAAACCUUCAACUUAGGAAAUAAGUGGAUAUGCCUCAACUAAAAAAUUAGACUUUUGAGAGUUGCACCAAGAGUUUCAUAUGGCUUCUCAAUGCUUGCUUCUAAGGUUGUACUGUUUUGGUGUUAUGGUUGUGUGGAACAAUUGGAUUAAUAUAAAAAAUUUAGGAUUUGAUUUUAUCCUUGGAAAAAAAAAAUUCCAAUUAUUAAUUAAGAUAAAAUAUAAAAGAUGGACACCAGUUCUUCUAUUCAAUUGAUCGAGAGUGAUUUAUUUGUAACUCAUUCACUAUAUUUACUAUUUUUCCUACAUUCUUCUAUUAUUUCCCUUUUACACAUUAUUAGAACUCUAAUUUUCUCCCAUUUAUGCUUAUUAAAAUUUAAUUUUAUUUCAAGUUGACAAGUGUUAUUGCAGAAUUCCUUCAUUUGAUAUCUAUUUUAUUAUAUCCUAAUGUUUGCAUUUGCAAAUCUAAUUAUGUGCUAUCAUUUCUUCAUUUGUAUACAGCAUGUCUCACACUCUUGUUAGACUUCUUAAUAUCAUGGUGGGCAAUUUGUGUAUAUAAAUGAGAAGAAAGAAUAUGUGGGUGGGAAGUGUGAAGUUGUAUGUGAGAAAUUUGAUAUGGACUUACUGUGUUUCCCUAAUGUGAUGUCCUAUGUGAAGGACCUAAGGUAUGAGGUUGUAGAUGGUGUUUAUUUUAAGAUGAAAUUAAAUGGAGAAUGGUUGCAAAUUAUUGAUGACAAGAGUGGAGAUGACAUACCUUAGGUCAUACAUGUUCAUAAUGAUUUAAAAAGUCAACCUUUUGUUCGAGUCAACUUGCCCUCCAUUGAUCAUAUUGUAUAUAGAUCAAAACCUUUUAAUGUCAAUGCAGAGGUAGAUUCUGAUAGAUAAUAAACCUUUAAUGACAAUGCAGAGGUAUGUUGAAGAGGAUAUUAAUGUAGAUGACUUUCAAACUCAUCAAACGUUUGAUGAAAUUUGUGUUAAUGUGCCCUAUUUAACUGAUGAUGAGGAUGAAGAGUUACAAUAAGCAAGGGGAAAGUUAGGGGGUUUAGAAAUAGAAACAAACAGCCGUUGGUCAAUCAAUAUGGGAAUGGGUUGGGGGAAUUAGGUGAAGAACCACCAGUAGAUCUCUUGGAUGAACCUGAAAAUGAAGAGGUUGAUGAUGAUUGUGUAAAUAGCUCAAAUAGUGAUUUUUCUUUGGAAUAGUAGUGUUUACUAUGAUACUUCUGAUUUAAGUAGUUAUUACACUGACUGACGAUGAGCUUGAGCUAGAUUCUGCAAGAAUACCUAGGUCUAGGAUUACAUUUGAUCCCACCUAUAAUAUUCUUGUUUUUUGCUUGGGUAUGGCAUUCACCAAUUUUCAGCAUGUCAGGGAUGCAGUGUCAAAUUAUCCAAUUUUCAAGGGUUUGGCGGUUCAUAUUGUUAAAAUGAACCUCUUAGGAUUCGGGUACAUUCUGCACCAGGUUGUCCAUGGACUCUAUGUUAGUAAUGAAGUGAAUGAUAAUAGUUUGGUUGUUAAGACGUACAUUCCAAAUCAUAGGUGUUACAGGGUCAAUAAGGGCAAUUUUACAAAUAGUUCCUUUGUUGCUUGAUAUUUUAAGCAUAGGAUUACUGCCCCCCCAAACAUAAACAUAAGGGUAUUAAAAGGUCUGCAAAUCUGAUUUGAGGAUGCAUGUAAGCAUGCAUGUCUGUAGGAAUGCAAAAAAGAAGGUAAUGACUAAGUUGGAAGGCAAUUAUAAGACAUGCAAAAGAGAUUGGAGGGUGCCAUUAAAGAUCUUCUUCCGAACGUGGAGCAUAGGAUGGUGUGCAGGACACAUGUAUGCAGCUUGGGCUAAGAAGUGCAGGGGGGGAGGAGAGGAAAACAGUUUUUUGGGGCUGUGCUAAAGCCACAUUUAUUAGUGACUUAAAGGCAAAAUUGAAAGUUUCGGAUACUUUGGGUACAGGCUGUGUGCAUGAUGCAUUGGCAUAUGAAAUUCGAAGUUGGUGUAAGGCAUUUUUUAAUACGGAUGUGAAGUGUGAUGUGAUGGAUAACAACCCAUCAGAAACUUUUAAUGGUUGGGUUCUUGAAGCAAUAUGUAUUGUUCAAAAAAAUAAAAACAAAAAAAUUUAUUUUGGUCAA